UGCGCAGGCGGUUGGGUGUGUCAGAUGUGAAAUCCCGAGGCUUAACCUCGGAACUGCGUCUGAAACUACUCGACUAGAGUACUGGAGAGGGUAACGGAAUUCACGGUGUAGCAGUGAAAUGCGUAGAUAUCGUGAGGAACACCAGAGGCGAAGGCGGUUACCUGGACAGUUACUGACGCUCAGGCACGAAAGCAUGGGGAGCAAAAG
rnacentral:rRNA from 1 species